AGAAAAGAGGGGCAGCCAUCUCCAUAUUUGCCGCACAUGCGUAGGUCAGCCACAGGAAACGGAUAGUGCCAGAGGAGAGAGGAUCGUGAGACCUGGGCCAACAGCGGAUCUCUCCAACAAGCCAUGGAGGACUGGGAAGGAGCUGAGAUACAGGACACCACGGAGGAGGUUCAUGUGCUGCACAGCUGGAACAACAGCCCCAACUGUCUACCCCUUGGCCCCUGCCUGUGGUAGCACCCCUGACUCCACCACGGUGACCCUGGGAUGUCUGGUCAAGGGCUAUUUCCCUGAGCCAGUGACCGUGAGCUGGAACUCUGGAGCCCUGACCAGCGGCGUGCACACCUUCCCGUCGGUCCUGCCUUCUGGGCUCUACUCCCUCAGCAGCUCAGUGACUGUACCUUCCAGCACCUGGCCCGGCCAGACCAUCACCUGCAACGUAGCCCACCUGGCCAGCAGCACCAACUUGAACAAGAGAAUCGAGCCCAGAGUCUGCUCAGGUCCCCAGUGCUCAUCUUCUUGCAUCGGUGGACCAUCCGUCUUCAUCUUCCCCCCAAAACCCAAAGACACGCUCACGAUCUCCCUGACCCCCAAGGUCACAUGCGUGGUGGUGGACGUGAGCGAGGAUGAACCAGACGUCCAGUUCAACUGGUUCGUAAACAAUGCAGAAGUGCACACGGCUCAGACGCAGCCCCGGCAGCAGCAGUUCAACAGCACCUACCGCGUGGUCAGCGUCCUCCCCAUCCUGCACCAGGACUGGCUGAGCGGCAAGGAGUUCAAAUGCAAGGUCACCAACAAGGCCCUCCCGAGCCCCGUUGAGAAAACCAUCUCCAAACCCAGAGGGCAACCCCGGGUGCCUCAGGUGUACGCCAUGCCUCCACCUCCAGAACAGAUGUCCAAGAAGAAGGUCAGUCUGACCUGCAUGAUCACGAACUUCUUCCCUGAAGACAUCCACGUGGAAUGGGAAAGGAGCGGGGAGCUGGCGCAGGACUUCAAGAACACCCCUCCCGUUCUGGACUCAGACGGCUCCCACUUCCUCUACAGCAAGCUCACUGUGGACACUAACAGCUGGCUGCGAGGAGACACGUUUACUUGCACUGUGGUGCAUGAAACCCUGCGCAAUCACUACACACAGAAGACUCUCUCCCACUCCCCGGGUAAAUGAGCUCAAACGCCCAGUCAGACACUGGGUUCUACCAAACACUGAACCCAGCCCUAACCCCUCAUGCUAUAAAUAAAGCACCCAGAGCUACCCUGGGACCCUAUGA